UCAUUUUGGAGGUGGUUUCACUUCGAUUGACCUCCUGAAAAUGAAAUGGUUCACAGGUCAAGAUCUGGUCAGAUCUGACUUUGUCGAAUUAAACCAGGAUCUUGGGAACGAAUCUUUGAGUGAAACAAAUUGGGGGAUGUUUGGUUUAUACCAUGGUGAUAACCGAGAGAGGCAAUUGCUAAGUUGUGAUGCACUCAUACCUCUACUAGAUGCGAACAAUUCCGGAGAAGAAGAAGAAGUGGAAUUGGACAAGGAUUUUAUUUAUAUUGUUGGGAUUCUUAUAUUGAUAGAGUUGAAGAAGUACAGGGACAAAUAAGCCAAG